rnacentral:rRNA from 1 species
UACGUAGGCGGUUUGGUCGGUUAGAUGUGAAAGCCCAGGGCUUAACCUUGGAAUUGCAUUUAAUACUGCCAGACUUGAGUUCGGAAGAGGAAAGCGGAAUUCCUAGUGUAGAGGUGAAAUUCGUAGAUAUUAGGAGGAACAUCAGAGGCGAAGGCGGCUUUCUGGUCCGAAACUGACGCUGAGGUACGAAAGCGUGGGGAGCAAACA